rnacentral:rRNA from 1 species
ACUCCUACGGGAGGCAGCAGUGGGGAAUAUUGCACAAUGGGGGGAAACCCUGAUGCAGCCAUGCCGCGUGUGUGAAGGAAGGCCUUCGGGUUNUAAAGCAACUUUCAGUUAGGGAGGAAGGUACGUNUAGUUACACCUGCAUUAUUUGACGUUACCUACAGAAGAAGCACCGGCUAACUCCGUGCCAGCAGCCGCGGUAAUACGGAGGGUGCGAGCGUUAAUCGGAAUU